UGAUAAAUUUAAAUUAAUAAAUAAAGUUCCAUAAUCCAAAUUUUAAUGUCCGAUACAUCCAACCAAAAGUCCAACAAAAUUUAAUUUAUACAUCAUAUGUUUUAAGAAAGCGGGUACUUCAACGCGGAGGACCACGAACUUGAACCAAUUAUUCCUACACCAAAUUAAAUGAAUAAGUGAAUAAAUACUCAAAUAAUUAAAUUAAUAAAUAAAUAAAAAAAAUCCGAUAGAAUUAGGUAAUAUCAGCAGCAUUAAAUGCUGCAUUAAUUGGAUGGCAGAAGAAAUCAUAUCAAAUCAUAUCCCUUCCUGACGAAGGAGAAGACUAAUCUGAGAUAGGAGUAAGUCAGGAAACUUUCACUUGCCAUUCUUUAUGCAUAUGUAUAGAUAUAUACAAUAAUUUUCACCCACCCACGUCACAAACAAACUUUCCAAAAUUUCCACAUAGAAUAGAGGAGGGAGAGUUGCAGAUAAUUGUAGGAUCAAGUCCUCAAUCCAACAACACUUCGUGCCCACAUCAAAAGUAUGAGGUUUUCGAAAAGGUUACCUUCGCAAGUAAAGUCGGAACGAAAGAUUCAAGUUAAGGAAACUAAACGAUCAAGGUUGAGCAGCGAAGUGGUAGAGGAAUUGCUAUUGAGACAAGGCAUUUAAUUCAGUCAGAUUUUGACUCUCGGAGGUUCAUGUCUUCAUACAUGGAACCACGUUCAUUUGCUCUGUUGUGCAUCUGAAAAGACUUAAGUUUAUUUUGUUCAAAACUCUGAUAUUUUGAAAUUUUUUACAAACAAUUACUCGAGUUUUCAUGAUCGAGUAUUUUUCUUCUA